CACCNGUGGCGAAGGCGACUUUCUGGACGAAAACUGACGCUGAGGCGCGAAANCCAGGGGAGCGAACGGGAUUAGAUACCCCGGUAGUCCUGGCCGUAAACGAUGGGUACUAGGUGUAGGAGGUAUCGACCCNUUCUGUGCCGGAGUUAACGCAAUAAGUACCCCGCCUGGGGAGUACGACCGCAAGGUUGAAACUCAAAGGAAUUGACGGGGGCCCGCACAAGCGGUGGAGUAUGUGGUUUAAUUCGACGCAACGCGAAGAACCUUACCAGGUCUUGACAUUGAUGGACAGAACCAGAGAUGGUUCCUCUUNUUCGGAAGCCAGAAAACAGGUGGUGCACGGUUGUCGUCAGCUCGUGUCGUGAGAUGUUGGGUUAAGUNNNNNNACGAGCGCAACCCCUAUCUUAUGUUGCCAGCACUUUGGGUGGGGACUCAUGAGAGACUGCCGCAGACAAUGCGGAGGAAGGCGGGGAUGACGUCAAAUCAUCAUGCCCCUUAUGACCUGGGCUACACACGUACUACAAUGGGAGUUAAUAGACGGAAGCGAGAUCGCGAGAUGGAGCAAACCCGAGAAACACUCUCUCAGUUCGGAUCGUAGGCUGCAACUCGCCUACGUGAAGUCGGAAUCGCUAGUAAUCGCAGGUCAGCAUACUGCGGUGAAUACGUUCCCGGGCCUUGUNC
rnacentral:rRNA from 1 species